rnacentral:lncRNA from 1 species
AAAAAAUAAUUUGUUUUUGAUUCUGAGAAAAAAAAUUGUUUGUUUCACCCUCAGCUGCCACUAUAUGUAAUGCUAAAAUUGAAAGAAAAAAAUUGUUUUCGACUUGUCACGAAAAAAAUAGAUUGUUUUUCGCCGCAGGCGAAAGAAAAAAUUUGUCCAGAAAAAAAAACCAUAGCCCCCCCCAGAAAAUCAAAUGGUUGCUGCCUAAUGG